GGGAGACUGUUGGAGGUAUGCCCUAGAGGCAAUCAUAGAGAUGAUGGUAUUCCAUUGUAUCCAUGAUUUAUAUUGUGUUCCUCGAAUAUCCUUUAAAUGCUACUUGAAUUGAUUUGCAAUUAUGUGAGUUGUGUGUGAAACUCUUUACUUGUAUGAUUAUUCUAAAAGUUAUCCCUAGUCGGAGUUCAUGUGAGGACACACAUGAAUAUUAGACUAGCACAUGUAUUAG
rnacentral:lncRNA from 1 species